rnacentral:rRNA from 1 species
AACGAGCGCUGGCGGCAGGCUUAACACAUGCAAGUCGAACGCAUCCUUCGGGGUGAGUGGCAGACGGGUGAGUAACGCGUGGGAACGUGCCCUUCAGUUCGGGAUAACCCAGGGAAACUUGGGCUAAUACCGGAUACGUGCGAGAGCAGAAAGAUUUAUCGCUGAAGGAUCGGCACGCGUCUGAUUAGCUAGUUGGUGGGGUAAUGGCCCACCAAGGCGACGAUCAGUAGCUGGUCUGAGAGGAUGAUCAGCCACAUUGGGACUGAGACACGGCCCAAACUCCUACGGGAGGCAGCAGUGGGGAAUAUUGGACAAUGGGCGCAAGCCUGAUCCAGCCAUGCCGCGUGAGUGAUGAAGGCCUUAGGGUUGUAAAGCUCUUUCGUCCGGGACGAUAAUGACGGUACCGGAAGAAGAAGCCCCGGCUAACUUCGUGCCAGCAGCCGCCGUAA